rnacentral:lncRNA from 1 species
CGCCGCCAUUCGCGCGACGGCCCGCCCGUCGAUCUACGCGGGCCGUCACCGCCCUGCUCCGACCGGGACUCCUGCAUAACCCCGACCCGGCGGCCUCGCGCCAUGCUGCGGCCAAUCAUAGCCGCCCUGCCGCUCGCCGCCGCCGGCUUCAUCUCGGACUCCGCCGCCACCGCGCCUCCACCAAGCGGCGUCCCCGACCUCGCGCGCGAUCGGCCUGAUCACCCGCUCGCCGUCGCGAUCCGCCUCAUCUACGCUGCGCGACCGACCUGGCCCGUCAGUUACGCGCGCCUCUGCAGGUCCCGUGAAGAUCGUCUCCAAGUUCAGCGCGCCUCUCCACCGAUCGAGUAUCGGGCUGCCGCCGCGUCACCCUGUCGGGCCGCAGCGCCGCCGCCUCGUGGUUCUUCUCCCGGCUGUCCCGACCCGCGUCACCGCUGCGUCGCCCCUUCAGGCCGUAGUGCCGCGGCCCGCGGUCCACCGCCGCCCAGAGGCCGUCCACUCCAGGUCGUCCCCGUGGCGGCACCGAUCCUCGCGCCGCCACUGUGUCGCCCUGUCGGGCCGUAGCGAGCGUGGCACGCGGUCCACGCCGCCGUCUAGAGGCCGUCCCUGCGGUUGCACCGACCCGCGCUCCUCCGCCGCGCGCCCCUUCGGGCUAUCGCGCCGCGGCCCGCGGUCCCUGCCGCCGCCCCGAGGUCUUCCCGCCGUCACCCCGACCUGCCCGCCGCCGCUGCGUCGCCCCUUCGGGCCGUAGCGCGGCGGCCCACGGUCCACUUCGUCGUUCACGCGCGUUGACUUCCUGUGGUAUGUGUGGCGCCACCUCCCUUGGCGCGGGAACGCCACCGUCCGCGCCGGUCUUCGUCAUGCUGUCGGGUUCUUCGCCUACUUCGAGCACCGCCGCCGCGCUCCUAACCUAGCCGCCGCCGCCGCUCUUCUUUGGCCGCCACCGCUACCAACGUAGCCGCCGCCGCUCGUCCACCUCCUUCGUCUCCGUCCAGCACCGGCCCGUCGCCAACAUCGCCGUCAUCUACCCCGACCACUUCGUCUACUCCGACAACCGCAGGCGACAUCGGCUCCGCGCUGAUUGACGCCGCAACCGUCGUCUGAGUCCUUCUUUGCUGGCCUCUCCGACUCCUCCGACAUGGCGUAUAACUUGUGCAGGUCCUCGUCUAUGCAUGCCCGGUGCUGGCAACAACGAUGCGUGCCUUCGUCCAUCAUGUUUCCCCGGGCCUGGCAAGCCUGGUGUGGCGCUUCGUCAACUUCGUCUUCGUCCGUCUACGCAUGCCCGGUGCUGGCAACACCGGUGCGUGCCUUCGUCUACGAUGUGUCCCCGGGCUUGGCAAACCCGCCGCGACGCGUCGUCAACAACGUCUUCUUCUCGGCGCACCACUACUUCGACACCACUGCGCCCACGCUAACUCGGCGCGCUCUUGCGCCCGUGGAUCCAUGGUGACAUCCUCGACACCGGCUCCCCGACUCGACAUCGACCACGACAUUCUACGCGCGGCUACCUCGACCACGGCUACACCACCCUCGGCUCUCGGCUACAUCGACAAACGGCACAAAGGGCUACCGCCUGCUUGAGCAACCUCGUUGGUUUCCGCUCCAGCCACGACUCCGCGAUGCGUUGACCGUUACGACUGUGGGGGGGUGUCCGUCGGCUUGCCUUCGGAUUCUUCUCCAGUCUCACCGUCUGCGUCGCUACCGUUGUGACUGCGGGGGGAUGUUGAGUAUUGUGAUUAUUAGGAAAGUUAGGAUAGCGUAGAAUAUUAUUCUACCUUGCCUUGUACUCCGCGAGGCCAGAGGCCGUCCGCUCCAGGUCGUCCCCGUGGCGGCACCGAUCCUCGCGCCGCCACUGCGUCGCCCCGUGGGGCCCUAGCGAGCGUGGCACACGGUCCACGCCGCCGUCUAGAGGCCGUCCCCGCGGUUGCACCGACCCGCGCUCCUCCGCCGCGCCGCCCCUUCGGGCUGUCGCGCCGCGGCCCGCGGUCCCUGCCGCCGCCCCGAGGUCUUCCCGCCGUCACCCCGACCUGCCCGCCGCUGCUGCAUCACCCCUUCGGACCGUAGCGCGGCGGCCCACGGUCCACUUCGUCGUCCACGCGUGUUGACUUCCUGUGGUAUGCGUCGCGCCACCUCCCUUGGCGCAGGAACUCCACUGUCCGCGCCGGCUUCGUCAUGCUGUCGGGUUCUUCGCCUAAUUCGAGCAUCGCCACCGCGCUCCUAACCUAGCCGCCGCCGCCAUCAGGCCGCCGUCGCCGCUCUUCUUUGGUCUCCGCCGCUACCCAUGUAGCCGCCGCCGCCCGUCCACCUCCUUCGUCUUCGUCCAGCACCGGCCCGUCGCCAGCGUCGCCGUCAUCUACCCCGACCACUUCGUCUACUCUGACAACCGCAGCCGACAUCGGCUCCGCGCUGAUUGACGCCGCAACCGUCGUCGAGUCCUUCUUUGCUGGCCUCUCCGACUCCUCCGACAUGGCGUACAACUUGUGCAGGUCCUCGUCUAUGCAUGCCCGGUGCUGGCAACACCGAUGCGUGCCUUCGUCCAUGAUGUUUCCCCGGGCCUGGCAAGCCUGGUGUGGCGCUUCGUCAACUUCGUCUUCGUCCGUCUACGCAUGCCCGGUGCUGGCAACACCGGUGCAUGCCUUCGUCUACGAUGUGUCCCCGGGCUUGGCAAACCCGCCGCGACGCGUCGUCAACAACGUCUUCUUCCCGGUGCACCACUACUUCGACACCACUGCGCCCAUGCUAACUCGGCGCGCUCUUGCGCCCGCGGCUCCACGGUGACAUCCUCGACACCGGCUCCCCGACUCGACAUCGACCACGACAUUCUACGCGCGGCUACCUCGACCACGGCUACACCACCCUCGGCUCUCGGCUACAUCGACAAACGGCACAAAGGGCUACCGCCUGCUUGAGCAACCUCGUUGGUUUCCACUCCAGCCACGACUCCGCGAUGCGUCGACCGUUANNN